rnacentral:rRNA from 1 species
UAGGGAAUCUUCGGCAAUGGACGAAAGUCUGACCGAGCAACGCCGCGUGAGUGAAGAAGGUUUUCGGAUCGUAAAACUCUGUUGUUAGAGAAGAACGUUGCAUAGAGUGGAAAAUUAUGCAAGUGACGGUAUCUAACCAGAAAGGGACGGCUAACUACGUGCCAGCAGCCGCGGUAAUACGUAGGUCCCGAGCGUUGUCCGGAUUUAUUGGGCGUAAAGCGAGCGCAGGUGGUUUAAUAAGUCUGAUGUAAAAAGGCAGUGGCUCAACCAUUGUGUGCAUUGGAAACUGUUAGACUUGAGUGCAGUAGAGGAGAGUGGAAUUCCAUGUGUAGCGGUGAAAUGCGUAGAUAUAUGGAGGAACACCGGUGGCGAAAGCGGCUCUCUGGACUGUCACUGACACUGAGGCUCGAAAGCGUGGGUAGCAAACAGGAUUAGAUACCCUGGUAGUCCACGCCGUAAACGAUGAGUGCUAGUUGUUUGGGGCUAUCCAGCCCUAAGUGACGCAGCAAACGCAUUAAGCACUCCGCCUGGGGAGUACGACCGCAAGGUUGAAAC